UACAGAGGUCCCAAGCGUUGUUCGGAUUCACUGGGCGUAAAGGGUGCGCAGGUGGUCGGGUAAGUCUGACGUGAAAUCCCGCAGCUUAACUGCGGAAUGGCAUUGGAUACUAUUCGGCUAGAGGGUUGGAGGGGGACUGGAAUUCUCGGUGUAGCAGUGAAAUGCGUAGAUAUCGAGAGGAACACCAGUGGCGAAGGCGAGUCCCUGGACAACUCCGUGACGCUGAGGCACGAAAGCUAGGGGAGCAAACAGG
rnacentral:rRNA from 1 species